AGAGUUUGAUCAUGGCUCAGAUUGAACGCUGGCGGCAUGCUUUACACAUGCAAGUCGAACGGUAACGCGGGGGCAACCCUGGCGACGAGUGGCGAACGGGUGAGUAAUACAUCGGAACAUGUCCUGGAGUGGGGGAUAGCUCGGCGAAAGCCGGAUUAAUACCGCAUACGCUCUGAGGAGGAAAGCGGGGGACCGUAAGGCCUCGCGCUGCAGGAGUGGCCGAUGUCGGAUUAGCUAGUUGGUGAGGUAAAGGCUCACCAAGGCGACGAUCCGUAGCUGGUCUGAGAGGAUGAUCAGCCACACUGGGACUGAGACACGGCCCAGACUCCUACGGGAGGCAGCAGUGGGGAAUUUUGGACAAUGGGGGCAACCCUGAUCCAGCCAUGCCGCGUGAGUGAAGAAGGCCUUCGGGUUGUAAAGCUCUUUCGGACGGGACGAAAUGGUUACGGUGAAUAACUGUGACUGAUGACGGUACCGUAAUAAGAAGCACCGGCUAACUACGUGCCAGCAGCCGCGGUAAUACGUAGGGUGCGAGCGUUAAUCGGAAUUACUGGGCGUAAAGCGUGCGCAGGCGGUUCGCCAAGUCAGGUGUGAAAUCCCCGGGCUUAACCUGGGAAUUGCGCUUGAAACUAGCGGGCUUGAGUGUGGCAGAAGGGGGGUGGAAUUCCACGUGUAGCAGUGAAAUGCGUAGAGAUGUGGAGGAACACCGAUGGCGAAGGCAGCCCCUGGGUCAACACUGAC
rnacentral:rRNA from 1 species